rnacentral:lncRNA from 1 species
UCUCUCAGGACACACCACGUUGUGCACUGCAAACGUGGUUCCAAUUUUAUCAUGCUGCCUAAUGAGGACGUUGCCAUUCCGGCAACCAAGGAUGUAGGUUGGUACCGACGGUACUCUCUGAUAGGUGCCCAAGCUAGAGGUUGCGCGACGGAUGACAGCAGUGAGUUCACGGGGCUGAGGCAAUAUCGGGAUGAAGUGCGGGGUGUUCUGACCUUUGUUGAUGUAGAAGCCAAGAAGGCGGGGCGGGUGGAUCUCACGAAAUCGAUGGAGGAAGGCGCGGUCGGAGGCAUGGGCGAGCCAACGUGUGCAUACGAGGGCGGAGUUGAGAAGGGUGGUGGUGAAGACGGUGCGGAGGAGGAUCUCACUGAGGAGGUCGUCGUCCUCGAGCACCUUGGAUAUCGCCGCCAUUGAUGUUGGGGAACGCUGGUCAAACUGGGGUUAGGGGAGAAGAAUUGUAGGUCGAUGCCGGGGACGGGUGGGGUGAAGUCGCCGACGAAAUUGCGACACUCAUCCUUUAAUUGCUUACGUUUCAGGCAAGUGAAGAAAUGGCUUUUGGCACCUACCCCAAAAAUAAAUGACCACCCAGCCUGGCCAAUUAAGCCAAAAAUGGUAACUGUCGCAAUGUACAGCAAUUGUGGUCCACCUGCUUUUAUCUUCCGUUUUAUUGUGGUGGCGUGUGUUGCUUGCCUUUGUGAUCCCCACACCGGUCCACUACGGAUAGGGAGGGGCAUGGCCGUCGCUUCGCACAAAGCAGCUACUGAGCGAACCUACCGAAAGGUUUUGUACGAGUUUUACUGAUUUUAUGUAUAAACAUUUUAGAAGGUUCUGGUAUGUUUUCGCUAUUUUUAAUGGUUUUUUGUUGUCUAAAAAAUGUCCAUAAACAUUCAGAAUCUCAAAAUUUUACUCUGAAUUUUUAAAAGUUCAUACUUACAAAAAAAUAUACUCUCUGCGUCUCAAAAUAAGUGACUCAACUUUGCACUAAAGUUAGUACAAAAUUUAGUCACUUAUAUUGGGACAGAGGGAACAUUUUUUGAUUUGUUUGCAAGAAAUAUUUGGAAUUUCAAAAUAUGUUCAUGUUUUAAAAACAAAAAAAUCUCAAAAAAUGUUCACCUUUCAAAAAAUGCUUGCGUCUUCCAAAAAAGAUCAUAAACAUUUUGAAAAGGUUCAAAAUUUUCAAAUAAAAAUAAAAAUCUAAAAAUAUGUUCACACUUUUGUAUUUUUUUGUGAUUUUUUAGUAGGCUGAAUGAAAAGAAAAUAAGCACUCCUGCCGAUCGAUAUUAAUUGUCGCCGACUUAGUAAAUCCACAGCAAUUAACAUGGAUUAGAGGGAGUUCUAAAAAAGUGUGUUGCUAUAGUGCCCACUCCUUCACUUUUUUACUUGUCUCUCUCCUACACUUAGACAAAAGUGCCAUGCAAGCGGGCUUAUAGCCCACUAUUAUACUUACUCUUAUAUUGUUAACUGCUAAUCUAAGACCGGUUUAAAGCGUGUUCUAGUCUAUCUGGAUUGAGCGAGGGUGGUGACGUGUCAUGCACUCAUAUCAUCAUCCUUCACUCAUAACUGGAUAGCUUCUUCUACUUGUUUUGGCUUUGCACUUAUCUUGACAUGAAUAAUCUACAUAGUACUGUCAACUCUGACUAUUCGAAAGACGCCAAUUAGAAAAAGUAUAUACAGCAAAAUUACACCGUAAAAUAAUGGUUAAUUCGAUAUACAAGCCACGUCCGCAAUGGCAUUUAGCAAAGUAUCAGAAUGCUGGCAAUGCAAUGGUUAAAAGUUUCUUUCCAAGUGAAUUUUUUGUGUCGUCUGAUCAAAAUUUCAAUCAACGGGGUCGAUCUUGUAUGGUUUGUGUGGUAGGGUCAAUUUUCUCAAGGAAAAUGGAUAAGGUUGAACAGUGGUAAAUCCACAUUUGUUUUCUCACCAAUAAUUCGACCGAUCAGAUCAUGGGCACCACCAUCAGUUGCAAGAAAAAUUGAUGCAAAAUCGGAAACACAAUUUCUUGUGUCACAACGAACAGCUGAGUUAAUUGUAAGAAACCACCACACCACAUUGAAGGCUAGAUUAGCAGAAAACACGAGUUUACAUUUUUUUUGGACAAACAACACCAUGUCUAGUGUAAUCGUUUGGCAAAUAACAUUGAUUGGCGCAUUAGGCUUAUUUAAGCGUGUUUAUGGCAGGUGGGUCCCGCAUUUCGCUCACAUGGCAUAACAGUUCACGGAGACAGGGUUGGUUGAAAUGUACCAACAAUAGUCCCUGGAAUUUUACAUAGACACCCUUUAAUAAAAAACAAAAGCGAUCAGCCCCCGUGCACUGUGCCCAUGUGCUGCCGGAAUCCCGCCCGUCGCCGCUAGGUGGUCGCAGCCGCUCCGCGUGCCAGUCGUUGCACUCCGCCGCGCCUGAAGGCAUGGAGACAAUGGCGACGAACCGCACGCCGCCGGGAGCAGCCGCCCUGCAGGACACCCUCCGCCACCACCGAGGCGGUCAACGCCGACAGUCGGGGCCCUCCCUCAGCUUCAAGUAGGCGACCGCCGUAUAUGGUAUGUCUAGCCGGUGGCUAGAAUCGAUUCAACAACUAGCUCCUGUGCUUGUACGUCCGCAUCCAACCGGGAAGAAUCAAUCAACGCACGCCUAGAUCCGCAGUAGACAAAGUACUUCUUGCAACACCGAGCACUGUGCAUGCGUGCUAGUUGUUGCUGCUGCUUGCGGGAGAUGCGGCGGCCACCUUGUUCGCGAGGCAGAGUAGGCGCCAUUGGGUUCUUGGUGGGCAGUGGCGGCGCUAGGAAAUGAAGGCUGGGUAUUCAUUUAAAUAUAUUUUUUGCUCUAAAUAUAGUAUAUGAACCAAACAACAUACCACUAGCAAUAUAGAUGAACAAAACAACACUAGCAUACUAGAUGGAUGCAGAAUGUCCAGGGCGGAGUUGUGGAGGUGAGCCGGGAGGGGCUGGGCGCCUACUUGGGCCGGGGAGCCGCCAACCGGGAGGUCGGAGGCGGACCGGCGCCUGGCGAAGCCGCACCGCCGCAGAGGUCGGCGCAGAGCGGCAGAGGGUCGGAGGGCGUCUGGGCAAGGGCGGGCCAGCAAGGGAGGGAGAGGGAGAGGGUGGCCGGAGGGGAGGGGACCGAGGGGUGAGGCGAGGGAGGAAGGAGAGAGCCGACCUGGCCGCCGGAGCCGGACCUGAUUCCAGGGUAGGCUGAAUCGGGGGAGCUAGCUAGGUUUGGCAAAAGAGGGUCGAUUGAAAUUGGGGCUUGGCCGCUCGAGGCAGUACGUAAUCGAGGGAGGGAGACGAGCCACUCGUGCGCCUAGCCACUUAGCCAGACGCUGACUCGGUCGUGUCUGCUCCCCUGCGUAGCUUUUUUGCCGUGGCCCUAUUCCUUCUAUCGUAUAUGUACUAAUUUUUUUACGCGAAAUACUUGGGUAUUCCAGGGAAGUCCCAGGAAGACCCCUAGCACCGCCACUUUUGGUGGGGAGACCGGGUUGAGAGCGGCAUGGCGGCGGAGACCACCAUGCACUGCACUGCGAGCAUGCUAGGAGGUUUUGAGGCGCCGGCCGCGGAUCCGGCAUGGGGCAUGGCGUUAGAAGGGCGGGGGCUAUCUGGUCUGCGGUGGGGGAAGGUUUGGGGACGGCUGGUGGCCCGGGGAGAAAGUUUGGCACAUUUUUGCAAAAGACCCGCCGUCUCUUGCGAACUGUUACGCCACCUAUGCAAAAAAUGGGGCCCACCUGUCAUAAACGCGCUCAAAUGAGACUAAUCCACCUGUCAUAUUGGUUCCUACAUAUUCCACGAAGGUCAUUUAUCGUUUGAACCACGUUGUCAAGGAUUCGUUUAAUCCCGUAUGCAAUUCCCUUUGUCUGGGAAUAUGUUACUUGCCUGAGAUUGGAUCGUCAGUAUCUCCAUAUAUACCUAGUUCUAUCUCGUUAUCGACAAGUCUCUUUACUUGUUCCGUAAUACAAGAUCUCGUGACUAACUCAUUAGCCACAUUGCUUGCAAGCUCUUUACGAUGUUGUAUUACCGAGAGGGCCCAAAGAUACCUCUCCUCACACGAAGUGACAAAUCCCAGUCUCGAUCCAUGCCAACCCAACAGACACCUUCGGAGAUACCUGUAGAGCAACUUUAUAAUCACCCAGUUAUGAAGUGACGUUUGAUAGCACACAAGGUAUUCCUCCGGUAUCCGGGAGUUGCAUGAUCUCAUGGUCUUAGGAAUAGAUAGAUGACAUGAAGAAAACUAUAGCAAUAAACUCAAGUGAUAUGAUCAAAUGUUAAGCUUACGGUUGGGUCUUGUCCAUCACAUCAUUCUCCUAAUAAUGUGAUCCCGUUAUCAAAUGACAACUCAUGUCUAUGGUUAGAAAACCUUAACCAUCUUUGAUCAACGAGCUAGUCUACUAGAGGCUCACUAGGGACAUAGUAUUUGUGUAUGUAUUCACACUUGUAUUUAAGUUUCCGGUCAAUACAAUUCUAACACGAAUAAUAACCUUUAUCAUUAAUAAGGAAAUAUGAUAAUAACCAAUUUAUUAUUGCCUCUAGGGCAUAUUUCCAACAGGUAUCUUCCCGGGACCGACCCUGGAGAAUCGGCCAGACAAAUGCGCAAGCGGGCAUCAAUGCACUGGACUAAUUUCCGCGGCCAAUUGCACUGCAAAACCACCAACAAACAACAAUCCAUGCAUCAGCUCGCUAGAGGACAUGUAAAAUCAGUGUGCAGGAAAUGAAACACAGGGAGAACGGAAAUUAUAUUGCCGUUUGGGAAGAGAAGAGCUCACAUCGCCGUUUGGGAAGAGAAGAGCUCACAUCAACCAAUUGACGUGAGGCUGGAAGAGGAAGCGUCUUUCGCCGUCGGGGACGGGCGAGGUCAGGCCGCCGCCGCCCCCUCCUUAAUUUCUUUCGGCGGGGCUGAACUGCGUUUUUUUGAGAAAGCUGAAGUAUUCGAGUGGAAGUCGGUGGCUGGUUUUGGGAAGCUUCUUGAAGCUUCCAGUCCUUUUUUCCUUGGCCUUUUUUGUUUGGUUUGUCUUAUUUUCCCCUUUUAUGUUUUUCAUAUUUCCAUUUUUUUUCUCAAAAUGCAUGAACUCCUUUCAAACUCAAGAACUUUUUUCAAAUUCGUGAGUGUUUUCCAAAUUUGUUUUUUUAAAUCGUGGACGUUUUCCAAAUCUGUGAUUUUUUUCACAUUUGUGAAGUUUUCGCCUAAAAUUCCUGAACAUUUUUUAAUUUUAUUUUUCCUUAAAUCAUGGACCUUUUCCAAAUUCAUGAAUUUUUUUGUCCGUGACCUUUUUCAAACUCGUGAACUUUUAAAAAUCCACAAACUUAAAAAAAAAUCAGUGAUUCUUUUCCCAAAUUCGUGAAUUUUUCUCAAAUCUAUAAACCUUUUAUUAAACUAUUUUUUAUGAAACCUUGUCAGAGGGCGGGGAGCUCCCACGUUGCAUACUGAAGAAGAGAGUUGGUCCAAUUAAUUAAGGUACCCGACCCAAAAAUCAUAAAAAACUAACAAAAACCACGCACGCAACUGUUGAUUCAGCAUCAUCUACAGACUUCGUAUGGAAUGCCAUGUUUCAUGGGAGAAGCAGAUAUUGAGAAAUUUGCAGGUGCUUCACAAUGUAUAUUGCCAGAAGAAAGCUAUGAGCUUCAGAUUAGGCACCGAGAGUAUAUAGCAGUUGCGGCUUGGAUCCUGAGUAGAGAUGUGAAGGAUAGGGAGCAGGUCCCGAUGAAGGUUGAGAGUGAUGUACAACAAAUUGCAGCAGAUUCAUGGGCUCCAUUAUUGAGCAGGUUAACUCAAUCAGGUUUGCAGACAUCUGCAUAGCACCUACCUAAAGUGGCAGCAUGCAUAUGAUUUGGGGAAACAACAAUUUGGGGCAAACAACAGAGUUGAUGUUGUCAUCUUCUCUCUCUUUCUCUCUCUCUCCAGUCUUCCCCCAUUUCUUCUUUCCAGAUACAACAGAGUAGAUAGCAAGCAUAAAUCAUGAUACAAGACUAGGGCUAUCAAAGGUAAUAACAAGGUGAAGAAAAUCAUGCAAAAGAUAUAUCAUGAUAAUCAAGCAUAAUAAUAGGUAUUAAACUCCAGAAAGGAUCGAAACCAGGUAGGUAGCUCUAGAUAUUAAAAACAGGUGCUCAUAACUUUUCAGGUUGCACAUGUCACCCAUCACAACUAAGGAGAAACUUUGGGGUGCAUUUAUUCUCAACUCAUCUACGAUGGAGCUCCAGUUUAUUGGUAGUAGAGAUAGCUAGUGUCCAUCUAUAUCCUUGAUCUUUAGCCUGAGCAUGGCAUUUCUGUUCCAAACAAAAUAGGAAAACACAAAGGAUCAGGGAUGAAGAUGAUUAAGCACAAGUGGAACAAGACAAAUUGGCAAGUAAUUUUGCAACAACAUUCAAAUGUUAUGUGUCACUCAAAAUGCAUAAUGAUAUAAUUGACCAAGCAAUGAUGACUAGAUGCUUCCAUACCCCAAACAUGUUGUAUUUUUCCUUCUACAGCGUGAAAAGUAAAGAAAACAAUAGUCAAUGAGGGUAUAAGUCACCAAGGGGGAGUUUUUAGACUGGAUUAUACACUUGACAUGUAGGGCGAAAAUAUCAUGGUGGUAUAUCUAAAUUGAAAAACAUUCAAUAACACAAGUGUGCCGAUGUAAAUUAUGCUAUCCAGAACUGAUAGGUGUGGGAAUAAUGGCAUGCUUAAAUAGACAUACAUGGAAAUUUUAUUCCAUGACACUACCGUAUCCUUUCUCGCAAAAAGAAUAACGACAUUAUUCUAAAAAAACUGCAAGUAUGUACAUCCAAAGUAACAUGACUGAGGUUCACCAUUCAAGGUCAGCUUACUGGUGAUAAGAAUUCAUAUAAUGUGAUAUCAAUAUAUGAGAAAUGAAGAAGAUGCAAUACAUGAACUUCCAUUCUUCAACUGCUAAUCCCUCUCUCUAAUUUCCCGGAUAUAUAACCCAAGACAACAACAACAGUCAUGACCACAUAGAAAAAAAACAACUGUAGCGAAAUCAUGCUACAGGUACAUAAAACAUCUCAAUUGUUGCUUACUAGUCUUCCUAAAAUGGCCCGAGGAAUCAAUUAUGUACCUACCACCAUUCCAUGAAUGUACUACACCAUGACUGUUGAUGAACCAUUAAUUAAAAUAAUAGAGGACUAAUAGUUUGGCAAUGCCAUUCAUCCUUAACUACACUGGAUAUGUUGGUGUAUUGAUCUAAGCUACAGAUUUUAGCUUUAAAGCACACAACAAGACAAAGCAACUGAAUAGAAAAUAGAUUGAUAGAGUGAACAAUUCAAAAACAUUAUAACCUCAACAAGACAAUAGAUUAUAUGAAGGCCAAAAAACAAACCUUGUAGGAUCAUCCUUGAGUGCAGGAAAUACGGGAGGCCAAAUCAUCAUAAGAGGAUGGAUUUCACAGAAAAAUUUAUCACCGUCUUCCUUCUCAUACACCUUAUGCAUUGUUCUGCGCUUGAUGUCCAAGAGGAAUGUGCAUUGACCCCUGUCCAAGAACACAAACUCGGCAUUGUCUCCUGCCUGGUUUAUCAGGAGAGAAGCAUUGUCAUCUGCCAUACUCAAAUCAGCACACAUCUCACGCAAAUAAAUGGUGUCCAUCAGCAACCAUGUGUACCCAUUGUGGAGCCAGAUGCGAAGUUGAAACUUCUUGACAUGGAUAAGAUAUACACCAGCAACAUCAUCAGCCUGUGACAAUAUGGUGUUUCUCUCACCAUACUCCAUCCCUUCUGGGAGCUCAAUUAUGGAGAAACUCGAGGCCGCCAAAUCCAAGACAAUAAUGUUGCUCCAGCCAGCUGGCACGUAGAUUUUAUUGUUGGACAACACAGAUUUAAGUACUGACCAUGGACGAGGGGGCUGCUGUAUGAUCAAGCUAUGAUUCAUGCGCCAUAUGCCAUGUUUCAAGAUAUAUAUGUAUACCCUAUGUUUUCCAUCCGUUGUUUGGUGCAUCAACACAUACAAGUAAGACAAGGCAUUGCCCUCUUCUUUGGACAUGAUUCUAGAGUAAGCAGUACCGUCAAAUAAGUACGGAGAUUGGGGGCGUGGAAAUGGUGGGAGGAUGUCCAUGCCUCUCUCAGGACACACCACGUUUUGCACUGCAAACGUGGUUCCAAUUUUAUCAUGCUGCCUAAUGAGGACGUUGCUAUUCCGGCAACCAAGGAUGUAGGUUGGUACCGACGGUACUCUCUGAUAGGAGCCCAAGCUAGAGGUUGAGCGACGGAUGACAGCAGUGAGUUCACGGGGCUGAGGCAAUAUUGGGAUGAAGUGCGGGGUGUUCUGACCUUUGUUGAUGUAGAAGCCAAGAAGGCGGGGCGGG